rnacentral:rRNA from 1 species
AUCAAUAAGGCGAGGAACAGAAACCAACAGGGAUUCCCCCAGUAGUGGCGAAUGAAGCGGGAAAAGCUCAAGUUUGAAAUCUGGCGGGCGACCGUCCAGAGUUGUAAGCUGGAGAGGUGUCGUCGGAUGCGGUCCGGGCUCAAUUUCCUUGGAACAGGAGGUCAUGGAGGGUGAGAACCCCGUAUGUGGCUUGGGUGCCGUGGUCCUUGUGACGUAUCCUCUAAGAGUCGGGUUGUUUGGGAAUGCAGCUCAAAAUGGGUGGUAAAUUUCAUCUAAAGCUAAAUAUUGGUGAGAGACCGAUAGCAAACAAGUAGAGUGAUCGAAAGAUGAAAAGUACUUUGAAAAGAGAGUGAAACAGUACGUGAAAUUGUUGAAAGGGAAGCGUUUGGCAUCAGCCCAUGGCGGCGGUCGAACAUCUGGGCUUCUGCCCAGUGCACUCGGCAGUCGCCGGGCCAGCGUCGGUUCCACCUGCUGGAGAAAGGCCUUGGGGAAGUGGCACUCCCUUGUGGAGUGUGUUAUAACCCAUGGCGUCAUGCGGCUUGGUGGGGCCGAG